ACGGCUCAGUAACACGUGGACAACCUACCCUCAGCACGGGGAUAAACCCGGGAAACUGGGUAUAAUACCCGAUAGUUCUGGUUAGCUGGAAUGCUAUCAGGACGAAAGCUCCGGCGGCCGAGGAUGGGUCUGCGGCCUAUCAGGUAGUAGUGGGUGUAACGUACCUACUAGCCUACGACGGGUACGGGUUGUGAGAGCAAGAGCCCGGAGAUGGAUUCUGAGACACGAAUCCAGGCCCUACGGGGUGCAGCAGGCGCGAAAACUUUACAAUGCUGGCAACAGCGAUAAGGGGACCUCGAGUGCCAGGAUACAAUCUUGGCUGUCGCGAUGCCUAAAAAGCAUUGCAUAGCAAGGGCCGGGCAAGACCGGUGCCAGCCGCCGCGGUAACACCGGCGGCUCGAGUGGUAACCGCUAUUAUUGGGUCUAAAGGGUCUGUAGCCGGCCGGAUAAGUCUCUUGGGAAAUCCAGCAGCUCAACUGUUGGGCUUUCAGGAGAUACUGUUCGGCUCGAGGCCGGGAGAGGUGAGAGGUACUUCAGGGGUAGGGGUGAAAUCUUGUAAUCCUUGAAGGACCACCAGUGGCGAAGGCGUCUCACCAGAACGGUCCUGACGGCAAGGGACGAAAGCUAGGGGCACGAACCGGAUUAGAUACCCGGGUAGUCCUAGCCGUAAACGAUACUCGCUAGGUGUCAGCCACGGUGCGACCGUGGUUGGUGCCGUAGGGAAGCCGUGAAGCGAGCCACCUGGGAAGUACGGCCGCAAGGCUGAAACUUAAAGGAAUUGGCGGGGGAG
rnacentral:rRNA from 1 species